rnacentral:lncRNA from 1 species
CAUUGCAACUACGGACACAUAUCCGAGGAGAUGUUUUCCGAGGAAACAUUAGUUGGCGAUUAAAUUACGUAAUUAUUUGGCCAGUCCAAAGUAUGCUGAAGUGUGUUUGAAGACCUUGGGUGAUGCGAUUCAUGAUCUUUACAAGGAUAACAUAGAGGCCCUCCCUUACGAAGACCUUUACAGCAUGAUUUGGUUUGAUUGGAUUGGAUUGUGGUGAACAUGGGGAGCGUGGUUGCACAGAAGGAAUCUGAACCUGAAACACAAGAGACACGACAGAGAGUCCAGGAGGACCGGAAAUUUCAGAUAGAGGCGGCGAUUGUUAGGAUUAUGAA